AGAUAUGAGGGCAAUCUGGCUAUGACAUCUGUCACUACUUUGAUCGCCAGGGUUAAUCGGCUGAUCUGGCUGGCUAAGCAGGUGUCCCUUUUCUCCCUCAAUGAUCCAUGUGUGUCCAUCCCAAAGCUGCGUGUUCAGUUGAAAAGAAUGACCUCCCCCAAUAGAGGAGGACUGUUCCUCCGUCAAAGUUAUAUGAAUAACUGCACUCCCCUGCUAGAACCUCCAAACAAGCUCUCAAGAAUACAGCAAAUCAUCAAGAAGAUUAUACAGCAUAACCAGUUAGGACUCAUCACUUGGAUGCAAGAAUAGUU
rnacentral:snRNA from 1 species